rnacentral:rRNA from 1 species
GAUGAACGCUGGCGGCGUGCCUAAUACAUGCAAGUCGAGCGAACGGACGAGAAGCUUGCUUCUCUGACGUUAGCGGCGGACGGGUGAGUAACACGUGGAUAACCUACCUAUAAGACUGGGAUAACUUCGGGAAACCGGAGCUAAUACCGGAUAAUAUAUUGAACCGCAUGGUUCAAAAGUGAAAGACGGUCUUGCUGUCACUUAUAGAUGGAUCCGCGCUGCAUUAGCUAGUUGGUAAGGUAACGGCUUACCAAGGCAACGAUGCGUAGCCGACCUGAGAGGGUGAUCGGCCACACUGGAACUGAGACACGGUCCAGACUCCUACGGGAGGCAGCAGUAGGGAAUCUUCCGCAAUGGGCGAAAGCCUGACGGAGCAACGCCGCGUGAGUGAUGAAGGUCUUCGGAUCGUAAAACUCUGUUAUUAGGGAAGAACAUAUGUGUAAGUAACUGUGCACAUCUUGACGGUACCUAAUCAGAAAGCCACGGCUAACUACGUG